rnacentral:rRNA from 1 species
CCCUUAGAUGUUCUGGGCCGCACGCGCGCUACACUGAUGCAUUCAACAAGCCUAGCCUUGACCGAGGGGUCCGGGUAAUCUUUGAAACUGCAUCGUGAUGGGGCUAGAUUAUUGCAAUUAUUAAUCUUCAACGAGGAAUGCCUAGUAAGCGUGAUUCAUCAAAUCGCGUUGAUUACGUCCCUGCCCUUUGUACACACCGCCCGUCGCUCCUACCGAUUGAAUGUGUUGGUGAGGAGCUCGGAUUGGCAGCAGUUGGUGGUUCGCCACCGGCUAUUGCUGAGAAGUCCUCCAAACCGCCCCAUUUAGAGGAAGGAGAANUCGUANCA